rnacentral:rRNA from 1 species
UAAAAUUUAAAAUUAUUAUACUAAAAUAGUAAAUAAUUAUUUAUUGAAACUUAAAUAAUUUGGCGGUAUUUUAGUUCAUUUAGAGGAAUCUGUUUAAUAAUUGAUAUUCCACGAUUAAAUUUACUUAAUUUAUAAUUUUGUAUAUCGUUGUUAUAAAAAUAUUUUUUAAUAAAAUUAAUAUUUAAAAAUUAUUAUAUAAAUUUAAAUCAGAUCAAGAUGCAGAUUAUAAUUAAGAAUAUAAUGGAUUACAAUAAAAUUAUUUAGAUGAAUAUUAAUUUGUAAAAAUUAAUUGAAAGUGGAUUUAAAUGUAAUUUUAUUUAUUUUAAUAAAAUGAUUAAAAAUUAAAAUAUGU